GUUUUUGAUCUCGGCGUGUGUACAGCAGUGGCUAUCCUUACAGCACAGGGAUCCUUAGAAGUGACUAGGGUACGGACCCCGGAACGUUACACUUGACAUGAAGCCUUGAAGGGUGGUUACUUGCUCCGAUUACCUGCUGCAGUUCAUCUAUUGCGCUUUAAAUGAAGAAAAUUAUGAGUCAAACAGGCUGGUGAAUUUACAACACAGAGGAAAGUCACCACUGUGCAUAGAUGCUGUCUAAAGUGAUUAUGAUGUCAUCAUUUGAUGAUUACUUCAAUAUUCACUCUUUCAUUGUAAAUGUAGCAAACCUUUUUUUACCAA